CCCUCUUCCUUAAAAAUUGAUUUAGGUUUUUUGUUGGUUUACAGUUUAUAUGAAGCUUUCUGAUCAUGGCCCAGAUGUUCUUUUGAGAGUCUUCCAUAGUAAUUAAUACUUGUUCUGCUGAAAGUCACCCCUUCCAUUUGUGCGCUAUCUUCUGCCUGGAAAACACAAUUCAUUUGUAUCUUAUGUUCAUUGCCACAGGGAAGGAAGAAGAACCAUGCAGCAGUUUGAUGCACUCUGGACGCUAUGGAGAGCAUCGAUGUUUUGAUUACUAAAUAGAACUUAACAAGCCAAGGAGGAGCAUGGAGUUGCCUUUCUGCAGCCUCUCUCACGCUCUUGUGUUCUUCCAUCACGCCCGUUAACAACUACACUAGAAACAAGCAGCAGAUUUUUUUCCACUCGACUGUGGCAAACAGUGGCAGUGACUCCAUCUGCAGAAGCCACACUGAUCAUGCUCCUCCUCUCAGCCUUGCAGGCUGCAUACCUCUGCUGGAUCUCAUGCAUCUGUUGAAAGGAGAAACCGUAAUACAGACUGAUGGGAUACUUGGUAAUUGCAACAGAAUCACAGAAUACCCUGGUAAUAGGUUUUUUAGCUUUUUUUUCUCCUUUUAUUCAUAAAGUCUGGCUGUUUUAUCAGCUGUAAGCACGUGACCUAAAGUUCUCUGCAGUGUUCAUUAGAUGCAGUUUUCAUACUAAGAGAAUUCAGACUUAAAACUGCCAACCGUGUCUUUUAUUCUGUACCAUUAUGUAUCCCAUGUAUGCCACGUGGGUUGCAAAAUUUUAUUCUGCAAACAAAUGAUUCUAUUGCAGUAGCUUUUCUAUUUGUUCCAUGUGUGCCUUCAUCUUCCAGCUUGCCUGCAGGAAGUAAGGGCAUAUUUCUGCCUUUCAAAGGACAUGACGACUUGAGAGUGGGUGAUUUUUAAGAGCAUGUUUAGAUGUGUACGUGCAUAUAAUUAAUUUUCUUCUUACUUCAGAGCAGUAUUUAAAUGGAGAUGGGCUCUCACUGAAAAAGGCAGUAAGAAGAACUUGUUUGAAUCUCAGUGACUUCCAAUGAAAUGCAUGCUGAGUAGAAAUGUAUGCUUGCUCUAUUUGCGCAAGAAUACUUACCUGGCUUCCGGCAUGAGAGUAGAGAAGAGGCUGAAGAAGAGAUGCCUGUAAAGAAUCCUACAUGCUUAUGUGUCUAUGUAUCUGUGACCCAUGUGGGCACUGUUGAUGGGCCCAAGGUAGGCAGCACUGGAGUGGCGGUGGUGGAGGGAAGGCACAACUGGCUUCACUUGCCACUUAAAUCUCUGAGGGAGGACUGGAGGCUGGAGCAAAAUAUGGUGACCUGUGUGGCUGCAUGAUGACCUUGGAACAAGUGUGACACCCCAGGGAGGCCCCACCGGCAUGGAGGUCAGGAGAAACCAUGAUGAGGAUUGAUCCAACAGAGUGUAGUGGCUCCCAUGGAUCCCACAGAGGCCUAUUGAGAUCUAUAGAUCUGUAUUUAAGGACUCCUGAAUAGACCUCAUGACUGGCCUGAAAGACCAUGACUGCUGCGAAGGAGACACUGCUAGGGGUGCUAUAAAUCUGUUGCAACCUCAGGUAGCUGAGCAUUGCCUUGGAGGCUGCCCCAUGUGCACACCACACCCAGGAGCUGAAAGGUUGGUGUUCAUGCUUGGAUUUGUUAUUUUCUUAGCACGUUUUGAGAUGGUGCUCAGAUCUAAAACCUCUUCGACGUGGUCAUAUAAUAGCAAACAAAUUAAUUAGGUGGAGAUAAGUGGAAAAAGCUCCUAAAACCAGUAAGCUCUUUGUGUCCCCUAAUGUAGUGUUUCUGCACAAAUUAGUGUGUUUUUUUCCUUUCCUGUUUUACCCUUUUUUUUUUUCCCCUGAAGUGCUCCUGAGUAGUGUCUUUGCAUGUAAAAUUUCAGCCUACAGCAAGUUGUUGCUGCUGAUGAAUUACAAACUGCUUAAAGACAGGGCUGUAAGGGAAAUUCUGACACAAGCUUCAGUACAGCAGCACAGGCUUGUUUCCCAGACACCAAAAUAAACCAAUAUUUUCCUUU
rnacentral:lncRNA from 7 species